GAUGAACGCUGGCGGCGUGCCUAAUACAUGCAAGUCGAGCGAACAGACGAGUAGCUUGCUCCUCUGACGUUAGCGGCGGACGGGUGAGUAACACGUGGAUAACCUACCUAUAAGACUGGGAUAACUUCGGGAAACCGGAGCUAAUACCGGAUAAUAUAUUGAACCGCAUGGUUCAAUAGUGCAAGACGUUUUUUCUGUCACUUAUAGAUGGAUCCCCGCCGCAUUAGCUAGUUGGUAAGGUAACGGCUUACCAAGGCAACGAUGCGUAGCCGACCUGAGAGGGUGAUCGGCCACACUGGAACUGAGACACGGUCCAGACUCCUACGGGAGGCAGCAGUAGGGAAUCUUCCGCAAUGGGCGAAAGCCUGACGGAGCAACGCCGCGUGAGUGAUGAAGGUCUUCGGAUCGUAAAACUCUGUUAUUAGGGAAGAACAAAUGUGUAAGUAACUAUGCACGUCUUGACGGUACCUAAUCAGAAAGCCACGGCUAACUACGUG
rnacentral:rRNA from 1 species